GCCAGUUUGGCCUAAUGGUUAAGGUGCUGGCUUAGAACCAGGAGACAGUGAGUUCUAGUCCCGCCUUAGGCA
rnacentral:tRNA from 1 species